rnacentral:rRNA from 1 species
CUACGGGGGGCUGCAGUGGGGAAUAUUGGACAAUGGGCGCAAGCCUGAUCCAGCAAUACCGCGUGUGUGAAGAAGGCCUGCGGGUUGUAAAGCACUUUCAAUUGUGAAGAAAAGCCUGGGGUUAAUACCCUCGGGUCUUGACGUUAACUUUAGAAGAAGCACCGGCUAACUCCGUGCCAGCAGCCGCGGUAAUACGGAGGGUGCGAGCGUUAAUCGGAAUUACUGGGCGUAAAGCGUGCGUAGGCGGCUAGGUCAGUCAGAUGUGAAAGCCCCGGGCUUAACCUGGGAACUGCAUUUGAUACUGCCUGGCUAGAGUAUGGUAGAGGGAAGUGGAAUUCCGGGUGUUGCGGUGAAAUGCGUAGAUAUCCGGAGGAACUCCAGUGGCGAAGGCGACUUCCUGGACCAAUACUGACGCUGAGGUACGAAAGCGUGGGUAGCAAACAGGAUUAGAUACCCUAGUAGUC